GACGUGAGACAAACUCCGGGAAACUGGGGCUGAUCCACGAUAGAUGACUUCAUCUGGAAGGAGAGGUCGUCCAAAAGGCGGCGCGAGUAUGCUUCGCGUCUUCCGCUCCAGGAUGGGACUGCGGCCGAUCAGGCUGUUGGCGGGGUAAUGGCCCACCAAACCCUGUAACCGGUACGGGCUUUGAGAGAAGGAGCCCGGAGAUGGACACUGAGACAAGGGUCCAGGCCCUACGGGGCGCAUCAGGCGCGAAAACUUCACAAUGCGCGAAAGCGUGAUGAGGCUAGUCCGAGUGCCUUCCGCUGAGGAGGGCUUUUCUCGGCUGUAAAUAGGCCGGGGAAUAAGGGGAGGGCAAGUCUGGUGUCAGCCGCCGCGGUAAUACCAGCUCCUCGAGUGGUCGGGACGAUUAUUGGGCCUAAAGCACCCGUAGCCGGUUCGGUAAGUCCUCUGUCAAAUCCAACCGCUCAACGGUUGGUCCGCAGAGGAUACUGCCGGACUAGGAGGCGGGAGAGGCGGACGGUACUCCGCGUGUAGGGGUAAAAUCCUUUGAUCCGCGGAAGACCACCAGUGGCGAAGGCGGUCCGCCAGAACGCGCUCGACGGUGAGGGGUGAAAGCUGGGGGGAGCGAACCGGAUUAGAUACCCCGGGUAGUCCCAGCCGUAAACGAUGCGAGCUAGAUGAUUCGAUCGCAUAUAGCGAUCGAAGUGUCGCAGGGAAGCCGUUAAGCUCGCCGCCUGGGGGAGUACGGUCGCAAGGCUGAAACUUAAAGGAAUUGGCGGGGGAG
rnacentral:rRNA from 1 species